rnacentral:rRNA from 1 species
GUCCACACCGUAAACGUUGGGCGCUAGGUGUGGGAUCCAUUCCACGGGUUCCGUGCCGCAGCUAACGCAUUAAGCGCCCCGCCUGGGGAGUACGGCCGCAAGGCUAAAACUCAAAGGAAUUGACGGGGGCCCGCACAAGCGGCGGAGCAUGCGGAUUAAUUCGAUGCAACGCGAAGAACCUUACCUGGGUUUGACAUACACCCUGCCGCCUCAGAGAUGGGGGUUUCUUUGGGGGUGUACAGGUGGUGCAUGGCUGUCGU